rnacentral:rRNA from 1 species
UACGAAGGGGGCUAGCGUUGUUCGGAAUCACUGGGCGUAAAGCGCACGUAGGCGGGUGUGCCAGUCAGGGGUGAAAUCCCGGAGCUCAACUUCGGAACUGCCUCUGAUACAGCACGUCUUGAGUCCGGAAGAGGUGGGUGGAAUUCCUAGUGUAGAGGUGAAAUUCGUAGAUAUUAGGAAGAACACCGGUGGCGAAGGCGGCCCACUGGUCCGG